rnacentral:tRNA from 1 species
CAUAGGGUAGUUUAUAAAAAAAAUAUUAAUUUUGGAGAUUAAUGAUGAGUUUUCCUUCCCUUUGA